GGUUAAGUUAGAAAGGGCGCACGGUGGAUGCCUUGACACUAGGAGUCGAUGAAGGACGGGACUAACGCCGAUAUGCUUCGGGGAGCUGUAAGUAAGCUUUGAUCCGAAGAUUUCCGAAUGGGGAAACCCACCAUACGUAAUGGUAUGGUAUCCUUAUCUGAAUACAUAGGGUAAGGAAGACAGACCCAGGGAACUGAAACAUCUAAGUACCUGGAGGAAGAGAAAGCAAAUGCGAUUUCCUGAGUAGCGGCGAGCGAAACGGAACAUAGCCCAAACCAAGAGGCUUGCCUCUUGGGGUUGUAGGACAUUCUAUACGGAGUUACAAAGGAACGAGGUAGACGAAGCGACCUGGAAAGGUCCGUCGUAGAGGGUAACAACCCCGUAGUCGAAACUUCGUUCUCUCUUGAAUGUAUCCUGAGUACGGCGGAACACGUGAAAUUCCGUCGGAAUCUGGGAGGACCAUCUCCCAAGGCUAAAUACUCCCUAGUGAUCGAUAGUGAACCAGUACCGUGAGGGAAAGGUGAAAAGCACCCCGGAAGGGGAGUGAAAGAGAUCCUGAAACCGUGUGCCUACAAAUAGUCAGAGCCCGUUAACGGGUGAUGGCGUGCCUUUUGUAGAAUGAACCGGCGAGUUACGAUCCCGUGCGAGGUUAAGCUGAAGAGGCGGAGCCGCAGCGAAAGCGAGUCUGAAUAGGGCGUUUAGUACGUGGUCGUAGACCCGAAACCAGGUGAUCUACCCAUGUCCAGGGUGAAGUUCAGGUAACACUGAAUGGAGGCCCGAACCCACGCACGUUGAAAAGUGCGGGGAUGAGGUGUGGGUAGCGGAGAAAUUCCAAUCGAACCUGGAGAUAGCUGGUUCUCCCCGAAAUAGCUUUAGGGCUAGCCUUAAGUGUAAGAGUCUUGGAGGUAGAGCACUGAUUGGACUAGGGGUCCUCAUCGGAUUACCGAAUUCAGUCAAACUCCGAAUGCCAAUGACUUAUCCUUAGGAGUCAGACUGCGAGUGAUAAGAUCCGUAGUCAAAAGGGAAACAGCCCAGACCGCCAGCUAAGGUCCCAAAGUGUGUAUUAAGUGGAAAAGGAUGUGGAGUUGCUUAGACAACUAGGAUGUUGGCUUAGAAGCAGCCACCAUUUAAAGAGUGCGUAAUAGCUCACUAGUCGAGUGACUCUGCGCCGAAAAUGUACCGGGGCUAAAUACACCACCGAAGCUGCGGAUUGAUACCAAUGGUAUCAGUGGUAGGGGAGCGUUCUAAGGACAGUGAAGUCAGACCGGAAGGACUGGUGGAGUGCUUAGAAGUGAGAAUGCCGGUAUGAGUAGCGAAAGACGGGUGAGAAUCCCGUCCACCGAAUGCCUAAGGUUUCCUGAGGAAGGCUCGUCCGCUCAGGGUUAGUCAGGACCUAAGCCGAGGCCGACAGGCGUAGGCGAUGGACAACAGGUUGAUAUUCCUGUACCACCUCUUUAUCGUUUGAGCAAUGGAGGGACGCAGAAGGAUAGAAGAAGCGUGCGAUUGGUUGUGCACGUCCAAGCAGUUAGGCUGAUAAGUAGGCAAAUCCGCUUAUCGUGAAGGCUGAGCUGUGAUGGGGAAGCUCCUUAUGGAGCGAAGUCUUUGAUUCCCCGCUGCCAAGAAAAGCUUCUAGCGAGAUAAAAGGUGCCUGUACCGCAAACCGACACAGGUAGGCGAGGAGAGAAUCCUAAGGUGUGCGAGAGAACUCUGGUUAAGGAACUCGGCAAAAUGACCCCGUAACUUCGGGAGAAGGGGUGCUUUCUUAACGGAAAGCCGCAGUGAAUAGGCCCAAGCGACUGUUUAGCAAAAACACAGCUCUCUGCGAAGCCGUAAGGCGAAGUAUAGGGGGUGACACCUGCCCGGUGCUGGAAGGUUAAGGAGAGGGGUUAGCGUAAGCGAAGCUCUGAACUGAAGCCCCAGUAAACGGCGGCCGUAACUAUAACGGUCCUAAGGUAGCGAAAUUCCUUGUCGGGUAAGUUCCGACCCGCACGAAAGGUGUAACGAUUUGGGCACUGUCUCAACCAGAGACUCGGUGAAAUUAUAGUACCUGUGAAGAUGCAGGUUACCCGCGACAGGACGGAAAGACCCCGUGGAGCUUUACUGUAGCCUGAUAUUGAAUUUUGGUACAGUUUGUACAGGAUAGGCGGGAGCCAUUGAAACCGGAGCGCUAGCUUCGGUGGAGGCGCUGGUGGGAUACCGCCCUGACUGUAUUGAAAUUCUAACCUACGGGUCUUAUCGACCCGGGAGACAGUGUCAGGUGGGCAGUUUGACUGGGGCGGUCGCCUCCUAAAGUGUAACGGAGGCGCCCAAAGGUUCCCUCAGAAUGGUUGGAAAUCAUUCGUAGAGUGCAAAGGCAUAAGGGAGCUUGACUGCGAGACCUACAAGUCGAGCAGGGACGAAAGUCGGGCUUAGUGAUCCGGUGGUUCCGCAUGGAAGGGCCAUCGCUCAACGGAUAAAAGCUACCCCGGGGAUAACAGGCUUAUCUCCCCCAAGAGUCCACAUCGACGGGGAGGUUUGGCACCUCGAUGUCGGCUCAUCGCAUCCUGGGGCUGUAGUCGGUCCCAAGGGUUGGGCUGUUCGCCCAUUAAAGCGGUACGCGAGCUGGGUUCAGAACGUCGUGAGACAGUUCGGUCCCUAUCCGUCGUGGGCGUAGGAAAUUUGAGAGGAGCUGUCCUUAGUACGAGAGGACCGGGAUGGACGCACCGCUGGUGUACCAGUUGUUCUGCCAAGGGCAUAGCUGGGUAGCUAUGUGCGGAAGGGAUAAGUGCUGAAAGCAUCUAAGCAUGAAGCCCCCUCAAGAUGAGAUUUCCCAUAGCGUAAGCUAGUAAGAUCCCUGAAAGAUGAUCAGGUUGAUAGGUUCGAGGUGGAAGCAUGGUGACAUGUGGAGCUGACGAAUACUAAUAGAUCGAGGACUUAACCAU
rnacentral:rRNA from 1 species